rnacentral:rRNA from 1 species
ACUACGGGUGGCAGCAGUAGGGAAUCUUCCACAAUGGGCGCAAGCCUGAUGGAGCAACACCGCGUGAGUGAAGAAGGGUUUCGGCUCGUAAAGCUCUGUUGUUGGAGAAGAACGUGCGUGAGAGUAACUGUUCACGCAGUGACGGUAUCCAACCAGCAAGUCCCGGCUAACUCCGUGCCAGCAGCCGCGGUAAUACGUAGGUGGCAAGCGUUAUCCGGAUUUAUUGGGCGUAAAGCGAGCGCAGGCGGUUGCUUAGGUCUGAUGUGAAAGCCUUCGGCUUAACCGAAGAAGGGCAUCGGAAACCGGGAAACUUGAGUGCAUAAGAGGACAGUGGAACUCCAGGUGUAGCGGUGGAAUGCGUAGAUAUAUGGAAGAACACCAGUGGCGAAGGCGGCUGUCUGGUCUGCAACUGACGCUGAGGCUCGAAAGCAUGGGUAGCGAACAGGAUUAGAUACCCGAGUAGUC